GUACCAAGUCAGGUUUUACUAAUGACCAAAUUGUUUCAAGCGAAUUUGGCACAUGUAAUACCUGCCUUGGUUGCU
rnacentral:pre_miRNA from 1 species